rnacentral:snRNA from 1 species
CAACUCUGGUUUCUCUUCAUUACGCACAAGCCUUUCGCCUUUUACUAAAGACUUCCAUGGAGAGGAACACUUCCGAGUUCAACAUAUUUUUGGAGUUGCUUUGCUCGGUAUCU